rnacentral:sRNA from 1 species
GUUUGAUUGAGUAUAAGAACUAGAACCACAACAUCUUCCCAAAAGCUAAAGUAAUGUUUCCCUUCUAGAAGAUACAAAGCCAAAAACUCAUACAGACUUCGGCUACACCAUCAAAGCUUUAAGAAGCAACC